GGAUCAUUACCGAGUUAGGGUCCUUCUAGGGCCCGACCUCCCAACCCUAUGUUUAUUACACUAUGUUGCUUCGGUAGGCCUGGUCAUUCGACCCUGCCGGAGGGCCGUCAAACGUCCUCUGGAGAGUGCCUACCGAUAGCCCCAACCCAAAAUUCUUGAAUUAAACAUGUUUGUCUAAGUACACAAAAAAAUACAAGCAAAACUUUCAACAACGGAUCUCUUGGUUCUGGCAUCGAUGAAGAACGCAGCGAAAUGCGAUAAGUAAUGCGAAUUGCAGAAUUCCAGUGAGUCAUCGAAUCUUUGAACGCACAUUGCGCCCUUUGGUAUUCCGAAGGGCAUGCCUGUUCGAGCGUCAUUUUCACCCCUCAAGCCCCCGGCUUGGUAUUGGACGGUCUUGGUUCAGGCUUCGCCCGGACCCCUCCUAAAGACAAUGACGGCGGGCUGUUUGCACCCCCGGUACACUGAGCUUCUUAAUUGAGCACGUAUCGGACCCAGGGUCGACGGCACCCGGUCUUCACCUAAACUUUUUUCUAAGGUUGACCUC
rnacentral:rRNA from 1 species